rnacentral:rRNA from 1 species
CUUACACAUGCAGUCGAACGCGAACGUCUUCUUCGGAAGGCUAGUAGAGUGGCGCACGGGUGAGUAACGCGUAGAUAACCUACCCUUAUGUCUGGGAUAACCCACCGAAAGGUGGACUAAUACCGGAUAUGCUUGUUUUUCAUAAGUUUUACAAGCAAAGGUGGCCUCUGAUUUAAGCUACUGCAUGAGGAGGGGUCUGCGUACCAUUAGCUUGUUGGUGGGGUAAUGGCCUACCAAGGCUUCGAUGGUUAGCGGGUCUGAGAGGAUGAUCCGUCACACUGGCACUGAAACACGGGCCAGACUCCUACGGGAGGCAGCAGUGAGGAAUAUUGCGCAAUGGGGGAAACCCUGACGCAGCGACGCCGCGUGAGUGAGGAAGGCUUUCGGGUCGUAAAGCUCUGUCAAGAGGGAAGAAGUGCAUAUUGGUUAAUAUCCAUUAUGUUUGACGGUACCUCUAAAGGAAGCACCGGCUAACUCCGUGCCAGCAGCCGCGGUAAUACGGAGGGUGCAAGCGUUGUUCGGAAUUACUGGGCGUAAAGGGCGCGCAGGCGGUUUGAUUAGUCAGAUGUGAAAGCCCACGGCUCAACCGUGGAAGUGCAUUUGAAACUGUCAGACUUGAGUAUCAGAGGGGAAAGUGGAAUUCCUGGUGUAGAGGUGAAAUUCGUAGAUAUCAGGAGGAAUACCGGUGGCGAAGGCGACUUUCUGGCUGAAUACUGACGCUGAGGCGCGAAAGCGUGGGGAGCAAACAGGAUUAGAUACCCUGGUAGUCCACGCCGUAAACGAUGUCAACUAGAUGUAGGGGGGUGUUGAUCCCCUCUGUGUCGCAGCUAACGCAUUAAGUUGACCGCCUGGGGAGUACGGUCGCAAGAUUAAAACUCAAGAAAUUGACGGGGGCCCGCACAAGCGGUGGAGUAUGUGGUUUAAUUCGAUGCAACGCGAAGAACCUUACCUGGUCUUGACAUCCCGGGAAUCUUCUGGAAACAGAAGAGUGCCUUCAUUAGAAGGAGUCUGGUGACACGUGCUGCAUGACUGUCGUCAGCUCGUGUCGUGAAAUGUUGGGUUAAUUCCCGCAACGAGCGCCAACCCUUGCCUUUAUUUGUCCACCAGUUCCGGCGUGG